rnacentral:rRNA from 1 species
CUACGUAGGGGGCAAGCGUUAUCCGGAUUUACUGGGCGUAAAGGGAGCGUAGACGGAAUAGCAAGUCUGAAGUGAAAUCAUAGAGCUCAACUCUGUAAUUGCUUUGGAAACUGUUGAUCUUGAGUACCGGAGGGGCAGGCGGAAUUCCUGGUGUAGCGGGGAAAUUAGUAGAUAUCAGGAAAAACACCGGUGGCGAAGGCGUCCUGCUGGGCCGGAACUGGCGUUUAGGCUCAAAAGCGUGGGGAGCAAACGGGAUUAAAUACCCUGGUAGUCCACCCCCUAAACGAUUAAAACUAAGUUUCGGCAAUCGAAGGAUGUCGGUGCUUCCGUUAACACAAUAAGUAUUCCACCUGGGGAGUACGUACGCAAGGAUGAAACUCAAAGGAAUUGACGGGG